rnacentral:lncRNA from 1 species
UGCGAGAUAACAUUCAGGGCAUUACAAAGCCUGCAAUUCGUCGUUUGGCUCGUAGAGGUGGUGUGAAGCGUAUCAGUGGAUUGAUCUAUGAAGAAACCAGAGGGGUUUUGAAGAUUUUCCUUGAGAAUGUGAUUCGUGAUGCUGUUACCUACACAGAGCAUGCUAGGAGAAAAACGGUGACUGCCAUGGAUGUGGUUUAUGCUUUGAAAAGGCAGGGAAGGACCUUGUAUGGUUUUGGAGGUUAAGUUGUAGGUUGAUUUUACGAAUGAUUGUAUAUCUGGAUUUUGGAUUUAACGUCAUUGAUGUUCAUGUUCAUGUUCUGUUAGAGAAAUUUGGAACUUAUUUACUGUUCUUGCAAUGAAAUUCUAGUUGAUCAUGUACUUACUGUCUCCAGUUUCUUUUUACUUUAUAUAUGAAUAUUUACUGAGCAUUGAUCAUCGGAUAGAAAGUUUCCCUUACCUAAGAUGUGUUGCAUUCAUUAUGUUUGCGAGAUGGUAAAUGCAAAGCUUAAGUGUAAAAUCUGUAAAAUUUGUAUUUAAAUAUAUUGAAACUAAAAAUUUAAGGUCUAAAUUGAUGCACCACCACAAUUUUAGUUGUUAAACUUUAUUUCUUAAAAACGCUAUUAACUUAUAAAUACAACUACAAUAGAUAUGAUAUUGAGUCUGUUGGGUGUUUGUCAAAAUUACAUAUUUGGACUUUUGUGGUUUUAUUUUUUUUUAAUCUAGGUAUAUUUCAUAAAUUUCGAUUUUUUAUUUAAUAAAGUAAUUGGAUUUUAGAAAGUUUGUAUUUGUUAGAGACUUAGAUUGAUAGACCUUUUUCAUGUUGAUUUUGGAAAAUUAAGUUAAACCCAAUUUUAUAUGUUGGUUACUAAAUUUAUUUGAGGUGUGGUGAACGAAUAAUUUCGAUGAAUCACAAAUUGUCAAGUCGUCUUAACGAAAAGUUUAAAUUAUUUGCGAUAAUUUAAAUUGGAUGAGUUUGAGUAACUAAGGUCGUUUGAAUCCAAUUUAAGCCUAUAUCAAAAAUUUUGGUUGAAGAAAAGAGUCGAAGACCAACUUUGGCCUCGAACUCACUACACGAAAAGAUGUAAAAUCAAAUCACCUCAAACCCAUAAAAUAUUCAUCAAAAGUCUUUAUAAAUAGAGGUUUUACUUCUUUACUUUGACGAGGUUGGAAGAAUUAAAAAGCCAAUACUAUACGAAAUUUGAAGUUCUAAGUAUUUAAAUUUUAAAGAUAUGAGGAAUAUAACUUAUCUUAAACUAUAAAGACGAAGCUCUAAAACUCUCAAAUUUCAAAAACUAAAACUAUAAAUAUAUACCUGAAGAAUAUGAAUUUUAAAGUCAACCUAAGACAAUUAAUGAAUCAGAGACUGAUGUAAACUAAUUAACAAAAUCAACUAGUCUAUUUAAGGAUUAAACUCAACAUUUUUAAAGAAAAAAUAAACAAACAAAAAUAAAAGUACAAAUUCAUUAUAUAAAUUAAAUUUAUUAAAAUAUUACGUCAAAAUAUGGUGCUCUUUAACAAGUAAAAAUACUUUUUAAAUAGAAAAAUCGUUAAAAAUAGCAAAUUUGACAAAUUUUCUUUUAAAAAACAGCAAACUUUUCAGAUUUUAUCAAUAAUAAACAUAGAUAAUCACAUAUAUGAUUUUAUCAGUGACAUUGAUAGACACCGACAAAAGUCCAUUAAUAAUAAAUUGAAAAUUGUGUUACACUUUAUAAAUAUUUUAAUUUAUUUGACUAUUUUUAACUAUGCCUUUUUAAAUAGUUUUUUUUUAAAAUUUAAUCCCUAAUUCGAGUAAUUGGUCAGUAGAAUGAAAACUACACAAAAUAAGUUGAGUUAAUCCAAAAAAGUUUAUAAAAAAAUCCCCCAAAAUUUAUAAUUUAAUUUAAUUAUAUAAUCUAAUAAUUCCAAAUUUUGUAAUUAAAUUCAAAAUAAUUAAAUAUAUAACAACAUUUUAAAAAUUUUACGAAUAUAACAGAAUUUAUCAAAUUCUAUCAAUGAUAGAAUCUAUCACUAAUAGACCAUGUUAUAUAUAUUGAUUUAUCAUUUAGAGAUCAUACAAGUCUAUCAAAAAUAGUUUUACUAUAUUUAUAAUUUUUCUUAAAAUAUUGCUACGUUUUUAAUUAUUAUUUAUAAAAUAGUGAUCAAUUAUAAAACAAAUAAAUAAACUUUUCGAAAACUAAAACCGUAAAAUAUACAAAUGGAAACUUCUUUCGAAAUUGGGCCUUCCCGCGGCCCGAUAUGGUAAUUACACGGAUGCCCGCCAAAAGAAAAUUUCACUUUUCAUUCCAAAACCACAAUCCGCAAACAUAUCACGCGGAUCGACAUCCACAACCGUCGAUUAAUUUAAAAUCCAAUAGACGACGUGUUUCCUCGAAUGAAACAUAAAGAAACAAAGCUUCAAAUUUCCCCUUAAAUAAAUUUCCCUAAUCCCCACCCCUCGCCACCAACAUCAAAUUUUAAGAUCCACCCUUUAGCGAUUCGUUCCCCAAUUUUCAGUUGAAGCAAUGUCUGGACGAGGUAAGGGAGGCAAGGGAUUGGGAAAAGGAGGAGCAAAGCGUCACAGGAAGGUUUUGCGAGAUAACAUUCAGGGCAUUACAAAGCCUGCUAUUCGUCGUUUGGCUCGUAGAGGUGGUGUGAAGCGUAUCAGUGGAUUGAUCUAUGAAGAAACCAGAGGGGUUUUGAAGAUUUUCCUUGAGAAUGUGAUUCGUGAUGCUGUUACCUACACAGAGCACGCCAGGAGAAAGACGGUGACUGCCAUGGAUGUGGUUUAUGCUUUGAAAAGGCAGGGAAGAACCUUGUAUGGUUUUGGAGGUUAGGUUGAUUGUACGAAUGAUUGUAUAUCUGGGGUUUGGAUUUAACGUCAUUGAUGUUCAUGUUCAUGUUCUGUUAGAGAAAUUUGGAAGUAAUUUACUGUUCUUGCAAUGAAAUUAUAGUUAAUCAUGUACUUACUGUCUUCAGUUUCUUUUUACUUUAUAUAUGAAUAUUUACUGAGCAUUGAUCAUUGGGUAGAAAGUAUAUAACUAUUUGGCUUGUUGUAAUGUUUUAUUCAUAGAAACGACGAUAAAAAACAAAUUAAUAGUUCACGCUAGAAGGAUAUCACAUUUUUUUUUCUUUCGAUUUCCUGAUGCUAAUUUGUUGGGUGACUUUGUAGUUAUUACUAUCUCAAUUAAUUUUGUUUUUAUGUUUGAAUCUUGAUCAUUAACUAUAUAUAUUCUUCGAGACUUGGAUGUAUUUAUGGAACAAACCCGAUCCAACUUUGGAUCGAAGAAGCCAUGUAACACCCAAUUUCUUAAAUUAUUUACGUUUUAGUAUAUGAACUAAAUAAAUUGAUUGGUGGGUAAUGUAGCUUCUCUUCAAGAAAAACUAAAUGAUUACAACCCCGCUUCUGCUUGAUAGCUAUGAAUAAUCUGAGUCCUUAAAAGAGAUAGAAUGUGAAGGUUGAGAGGAUGUUGGACUUAUUAUCGAGAGGAUGGUUGGUGGAUGAACAGCUUCAAAUGAGAUAUCUUGUUUGCCCUUAUUUGUUUGGUUUAUUAUUUAACUUGUCAAUGGAUGACUUGUUGGCGUGUUGUGUGUCCAUUCUGUUUUCUAGUCUUUUUCUUGUUCAAAAUUGAUGGGGGUAGCGCAGUGUUGAAGGGAUUGAAGUCUAGACGACCCUUUUUAAUUGGCAAGAAGCAGGUUCAUUGUGGUGGAGCAUAGAUUCAAAUAUGGACUCCCUCCACAGUUUCAAAAGGUGUGCAGGUUGAUGCUGUUAACAUAUCAUUUAUCUUUCCAAGCCGUUUUUUAUUCUUAUCAUUAUUUUGUCAAAUAAGACCAUCUAGCUUUACUAAUGUAACACUUGUAUACAUCAGCUUUCAUUUUUAAUCUGGUCCUUUAUGUUAUCUUUCGAAAUUUGCUGGCCUUGCAACUCAUCUUUACUUUGUUCUGUGUAUAUCUGGUAUGCAAGCUAUGGCUUGUUCGUUUUCUGAAGGGAUUGAAGUCUAGACGACCCUUUUCUUAGUAAUGGACGUGGAGAGACUAAUAUUUCAAAGUAGUUCAUCUUAAAACCCAAUUCAUACGUGGAUGUAGGAUGGACAAACUUUUUUUAGUUUUUGACUUAUUUUCUGUCAAAUUUCUGUAAAAUGUGUAUGAUGAUUCUGUAAGACUCGUAUUAGCAAAUUUGUAUUCGAGAAGGGGUGAGAUAGGGUAUUUCAUGGGGAACCGUUGGUUUUUUCUGCAGUGGUUGAGGAUUAUUUGUUAUUAGGGAUCAUGAGGGGUUUAAAAACUUUGCUCAGGGAAGAAAGGUUGGGAAAAUUUUGAAGUGUCACAGUAGCUGGAGAAGACUCUGUUAUCUUUGAAUAGUCGAGGAUUUGUGCAUUUCAGUUCCUUGUAUUUGUAUUUAUGAGUUUCCGUGUAAUUGUGGAGAACUCGUUGAACUCUUGGAAUUUCCACGAGUAGAUAUCGUACAGGGUGAGUACUGUACACUGUUCUUGGUAUAUAUUUGUGUGUUGUUCUGCUUGGAGCGGUUGUUAGAUACCUAACAAAUUCUCAAUGUAAUGACUGAAAACAUGUACUCCCACAACAACCAAGUUGGCUUGUUUAAAAGAAGCUGCAGGAAGAUUCAAUGUCUAGCGAAGUGGAGCAUGUUGGGAUUUGGUGUCGGGGCGCUUGCAGCUUUGGUGUGCCCUUCCCUUGGUUACGAACUACUUCAGUGAACUAUUCAUUUCACAAGUUUUUGAACUUCUUGAUUAUAGGAUUAUAGGAUGCAAGAAUGAACUGGCACCAGCCAGUUUUGGGUUAUUCUUUGUUGUUUUGGCAAGUGUAGUUUAGAUUUUGUGACUUUUUGGAGAGAUGAUAGUUAACUAUAUUACAUCAAUGUAUGACCCAAAUUAUUUUAAUAUCAAUUUUUAUUAUUUAAUUGAUUUAAAACAAAAGUAUAAAUGAAAAUUUUCAUGGGGUAUGGUUUUGGAAAGAAGUGGAAAAUGUUUAAUACUUUCCUUUUACAAAAAUUGUGGUCUACUCCUCUCAUUAUACUUGCAUAAGCAAACAUGGGUUACAGUUUGUACUAAGAAAUUUGAAAGAUUUCAAUGGUGAAGAAGACUUUCGACGAGCGAAAAAUACAGAACUUUUCUAAUAGAACUUGGAUCUAAAUUUUGAGGUUAGUACUGUAUAGAUUCAAAACAUAUGAAACAUUAGGUAUAUUUUAGAUAUUCGAUUAAAUAGACAAACAAACGAAAAUGUAGUUUUGAACGUGAUACAAAAUAUUGCGGAACGAAAAAUAGUUCUCUUUGAAUUCGUACCCUAAGAAAGAAAAUGCAUGAACUAAGAGAAUAUGGUGCUCCACCAGGAGAGGUAGAGGAAUGAAAAAAAAGAAAGGAUAGCUGAGUGGCUUAAUUGUAAGACAUUUCUUUGCUUAAAUUGACAAUAGUCUCUCUUGCCCACGCAGCGAUAGGCUCAAUCUCUUUCUUAGCCCAAUAAGGAUUUCUUUGAAUAAGAGUUCAGUGAGAAGUUGUCGAAUAGGAAGAGGAUCUUGAACAAGAAUCAAGGUAAUUAUCUAUUUUCGUAACUAGACAACUAAGAGGUAGAAAGUCGAUCGCGUAGUGGGAGGAAGACAACUUAUCCCUUCUUUCUUCGGGGUCAGAACCUAAGAUCCUUUGAUCUAUAUGGAUAAAUCAACCUCAUGCCUCCAUAAUCAAGUAGCAUCCACUAAAAAGGAGCAGUUCAAUUUCCAAGGAGCUAUCGCGAAGUAGGAGUAGAGCAUUUUUGCACAACUUCUCCUGAACAAGGGAUUACUUUUCAGUUGCCACCGAACCGCCCCUCUCCGUAUCAGUUGAGUCAUCCUCGAGACUGAUUAAUGGAAAAUAUAGCCACCUCCGCGAGUGAUCCUAUUGAAAUUAAUACAUUAAUUUGUUAAGAUUUGUGCAAACCCCCUUUAUGUGCCCCAUGUGCGCUUUCCCACGCUUAAUCACUUUACUCUGUGGAAAAUGCACUAACUUUUGGCCAGCAGAGAAGGAGCAUGAGUCAGAGGAAAUUAUUUGAUUUUCAGAGUAUUCCAAAGAUUAGUAUGCUAUCUUCUCAUUAUAUCAGUCUUUGAACUAUGAUUUAAAGACACUAUCGCGUAGUGCAACUGCAUUAAGACUCGAGCGGUAAAUUUCGAAGAAUCUUGUCUUCUGAAUCAGAAUCAAUGAAAGGACUUCCCUUUACAAAGAGAGGGUAGUCGGCCUUCAUCAGCCUAGGAAGGCUUCCUUGGUUCAGGAACCAGAUUUGGGUCUCUAAGAAGUUCUCCUUUUCCCGCUAUUUAAUAUAGACCUUUACAGCGACUCCCACGGGGCGGUACUUGUUGCUAACUAGAAAGCACAAGAUUUUCUAUAGGGUUGAGAAAAUACAAAUAGGUCCCUGAACUCCUAAGCUAAGGAUUAUUAUAUUAAUUUAGUCUUUGAAGAUCUCUCAUUCAUUUCAACCCUCGACCCUACUAUUUGAUUCAGUCGAUUUAUCAUUAUAGGACUAAUUUUUAUUCUCAUUCAAUAGUAGACCAGGAUUCUGAUUUCAUCAUCAGGAAGCUGAAAAGUCAAGAUAGAAUUAGUUGUGUCAAUCUUGGUAUGUCUUAAGAGAGUAUUUUCUUUAGCCUCUGGUCUUGCCCCGUCCAAAACCUGAUAAUGAUUCCGUUAAGGAAACCAUAAUCUACGAAUAAGAAAGACAGAUCAGACUAAGCUGCCAAUACAUCCAUUCCAUCUCCACCAAAAUGACCCAUAUGUAUAGCUUAUUCCCUCUGAUAUUCAGUUGGCAAGUGAGCCUGAGAUCUGAUUUAUCCAGUAUUUUAGGAAAUCUUUGAGAUUCCCGCUUUAUAUAAAUUAUUUUGUGGGCUACAGGUGGAGGGCUAUGAGAUCGUUCACUCAAUCCUGGAGCAUGACUUUUGGAUGGAAGUUAAACCAAAACUAAGAGGCUCGUAGAGAAUUCGGGGAUAUAACAACGGAUCUAUGUUCCUGAAAAGUCUCGAAGAAGGCCACCAACACCCAACUUAGCAGAAUAUUAUGUGGUAGCGCACCCAUCAGUAUUUCAUUUCUUAAGACGAAGAUUCUAAUGGAUCAAUGCAAUUUGAGAACUGAAAAUCUUCUUUGAGACAUCCUUCAGACUUUCCAUAUUAGCUUUCUUUCGUCUCAGUAGCUUAAUUCUAAAAAAUCCAUAUUAGUCGUUCUUCCCGUGUAGUGGGCUUGCUUAGCGCCUCAGUCACAUUUAGUUCAUAUAGACCUUUGCUUUUCUUUUGUGCUCCUCUCCUUCUUAGUCGAGCAGUCUUCUCAUCAAAUUUCAUUGAUCCUCUCCUUACUGCAAUAUUCUCAAAUUAAGGAUCUGGACCUUUCCUUUUGGAGCAAUAUUCUUUGUGCCUCCUACAAUAUUCCUGUCUUAUACAUCCUUACUCAAAUUUCAUUGAUCCUCUCAACAACGCAAUAUGGAAAGCUCUUUGUUAAGUAGUUGAAUGAAAAGCUCAAUUCAAUUUGAGUUUGUGCCUCCAAAAACAAAAGCUCUUGUCGGCUCAAAGAAUAUUGAAUAAAGAAUGAAUUUACCAUUCUCGUUAGGCUCAAAAAAGAUUUCGAAGAAAGGGAUAUUGUAGAGCGAUUCAAUUAUUCAAAAACAAAGGCGCCAUAAGCCAGGUCUGAAGUACUAUCCAUCAUGGAGGCUCAAAAUAAGCCCACUACGCGGGAAGAAAGAAUAUCCUUAGUUGAGCGAAUAUUCGAUCCCCAGCUUCCUCUUACUAAAUAAAGAUCUACGCCUCAAUCUGAUUUCAUAGUCAUCAGCCUCAGUAGCUAGAUCGAGGGAAGAAGGAAGACAUGCUGCAAGUCCUUCUUUCCUUAUUCAAAGAUGUAAUGAUUCUCAUGGAAAUGAAACUAUCAAUAGGAUGCUCAAAUAGGAAGAGAAUCUGAAGCCUCAACUUUCAAGCAGUAGAGAACAAGGCAAGAGGUUCAAAGGAACGAGUUAAAGUUAGAGUUCGAAUGAGAUCUUUAUAGCAUCCAUCUCUUUUAAGCUCUCAAGACGGAUAUGGGGAAUUUCUUUCCCGAGUCGAGUAAGUCUUGCAGCUCUCUUGUGGUACACUAAAUAAGUUCUCUUUCAGCUUUCGAGUAUAAAAAAAUAGAAGAAAGAAAAGAAGAAUUUUCGAUUCACCUUAAUGAUCUUAAAUGAAAACCCGUUGGGAGUAUGAAAGGGAAGAGAAUUAAUUCGAAGCCUUUCUUUUAAGGAGAAAGAAGAGACAAAUGUAUGAACUAUUAUCAGCGGCAGAGUCUCUUAUCAAAGAUUCAUUCUCCCUUUCGGCAUAGCGACAAAGAUAAUAAUAAAAUAACUAAAGUAUAGUUGACAAUAUCUAUAUGUAAUUAAUUGAAGCAGAGGAGAAAAUAUUAACGGUGAUGUUGAUGAAUUCAAAAGGAAAAAAAUAAUGUUGUGCCCCAUUUUGUGGCUUUUUUAAUAUCCAUAAUGCAAAAAUGCAAACCUAAAAAAUAAAUUUAUAUUAAAAAUGUCUCCUUAAAAAAACAUCUAAAAAAACUCAAAGUUUCAUAAACAAUCCAUAAUACACCCAAACAAGCAAAAAUAUAAAUAAAUCUAAAAUAAAAUAAAAAUGUCUCAUAAAAAGCAGCAUGCUCUUACAACAAAUGACCAAAAAGACAGAAAAAAGAAACCUAAAAUUUCAAAAAUAAUCUACAAUUAGGGGCAAUUAUUGGUCAGACAGAAUCGAUUUUGUACAAAAAUCGGGGUAAAAAACCGACCUAGAUAAUUGAUUUAUUUCGAGGAAAACAGACAACGAUGUUCAAUAGUCGUUUUGGUCGAUUUUGGUAGGUUUGCCUCAAUUUGGGUCAGUUUUUCGAAACCUUUUGGUUAAACAGACUAUCGACCAUGUCUAAUAAAAAUUAACCAUUGAGUGUUGGUUCGAUCGAUUUAGGUCUGUUCGUAUCGAUUUUUCGAGUGUCGAUGCUAACCCCUAUCCAUAAUACAAAAUAUAAGAAAGCUAAAAAAAUAUUCAAAACUAUGAUUGAAUAAAACAACGACAAGUAGAAUGAAAAUAUACAAAAGAAGAAAAAAUACAUUCACAAUAAAUGAAAAUAAAACUGAAAAGGAAAAGUUCAUCUUCUGAAUUAAAAGAAAAACAUAAUAUAUGCAAGCAAACUAAGAAAUGAUAAAUUUUAAAUUAAAAACGUGUCAUCAAACAACAUUGUUGGAUCAGUAUGGCAACCCUAGAGGGGGGUGAAUAGGGUUUAAAUAAACUUUUUGACCAAUAAAAAGUAAAAUCAACUAAUUAGAUACUUUUUAAAUUUAAAUAAAGAACUUUGUAAACUUUGUUAAAUAACAAGAUUGAUAAAAAUAUAUGAAUGGAAGUAUGCAAUCAAACUCAACCAAUAAGAGUAUGUAACUAAAAUUAAAUUAAAAAAUAAUUAGAAAAGAGUUAGAGAAGAAGACACCGUAAUUUUACAGUGGUUCGGUUAAACUCAACCUACGUCCACUUUCCCAAGCACCUCUUGGGAUUUUGAUUGAAAAUUUUCUUUGGACUCUUUCCACGGAUUUGAGCCGAAUCGAUUCUUGCUCCUUUUUCGGGUUCAAGAGCAAACCCGAUCCUUUCCACGGGUUAGGAUCCAACCGUUACAAUAUGUUGAAGUUUUUAAAUCAUACAAAAGAAAACUCUAUAAAAGAGUGAGUAUACAAUUUGAAGCUCACAAAUUUAAUCCUCACAAUACAAUAAGAAGCUCUCAAGAAUAAGAUGAAAAGAAUAAAAAUUGGAAGCUUUAGAGAGAAUAACAAUGUUGGCUUUUUGCUUGAGGAUUGUAAAUAAUUUUCAUGAUCUUGUGUAAAUGUUAAGUAUUUAAAAAGAGAGGAAAGAUAAAUUCAAAAUCAUUUGGGUCAUUAGAUAGAAGUAAAAGAAAAAUGAAUGGUUGAGGUUUAAACUUAAUUAGCCGUUAGACACAAUACAAAUAAUAAUAUAAUAAUAUGUCUUUUCAAAAUACUUUGUUUAAAAAGAAAUCAAUAAAGCAACUUCACCAUCUUUUAAACAACUAGCCGUUAGACACAAGGAAAAAUAAUAAUAUUAAAUUCAUUUUCUUUUUAAAUUCAUUUUCUUUAUAAAAGCCAAUAAAACAUAACAAAAAGCCACAUUUGUUACUCCUUCAUUGCUCCAAGUGGCUUUCUCUAAUUGAUUCAAAUUGAAUGCUUGGUCGCCACGUCACCAUCUCGGGUAUUUUUCCGUUAACCUUCUUUUAGCAAUAUUUUCUUCAUUUGAACUUCGAUUUGGGUGAUUCAAGAGGCGUUAGAAUCAUUUUUCCAAGCUCUACGAUAUGGUCUAUUCAAAUUAAUAAAAUUGUCAAUAAAAAAAUAUCAGAUUUGUUAUCAUCAAAACAUAAAUUAAUUGAAUAAUUAAAAUAAAUUAAUUUGAGAUUAGGGUUUAGGGUUUAGGGUUCAAAGACGCAUUCGUUUGGAAUGGAAUGAAGCUCUUCGGAAGAGACUCUAAGAUAAAACUAACUUGAUUAACCUCUUCGAUGGGACCACCAUUUACUUCAGCGAUGUUGAAGUGCAUCAUCAUGUCCAGAACAUGUUCUCUAACAGAGGUCCCUUCCUUCAUACGCUUAGUGUAAAUGUAUUUGACUGCCUCGUGUCUUAAGGACCAUUCUGGUUGCCCAAACAUUCCCCUUAAUGAAUCCAUAAUCUCUUUAGCCGUGGCUAAGGAUUCAUGUUUCUUUGCCAAUACAUCAGACAUGCUGGCAAGAAUGUAGACACGGGCUUUUUCAUUAGCUUUUAUCCAUCGAUCAUAUGCAUCCCGACUAGUUCGGUUAGCAUUAGAGGCAGGGUUUUGAGGACAUUCCUCAGUUAAGACAAAUCUUAAAUCGUCAACCACUAGUAUUGUGUUAAGAUUUGAUUUCCAAGCCGCAUAAUUAUCGCCAUUAAGUUUUUCGGAAGCUAAAAGUUGAACUAUUGAGCUAUUCAUGCUGAAAAACAAACAUAUUCUUUUUAGGAAAAAACUAUAAUCAUAAAAAAUAUCCAAUCUAAUUUAGCAAUUACUAAUAAUGUACCCUUUCAUUAUUUGUAUUUUGCAAUAAUAUUUCAAAGGUUUAGAACAACCUUCUCCGAAGGGUAGUUGAUUAUUCCUCCUUUGAACCAAGACAAUCUUGACUAGAUGGUAUCUCUAGAAUAACUCUUUAUUCUUUAUAGCACUUAGUUAUCGCUACUUUAGUCAAUAAUAUACUAACAACUUAGUAAUUCUUGUAAGUGUUACCCACCAUUUUCAGAUUUCAUAGAUUAGAAUCAUUUAUGAAAACUAAUAUAAGAAAUCCUAUCCAGUUUUGGAGUUCGCGGUGUUCCGAAUCCUAUAAUACAACCCUCCGAAGGGAACGUCGCUCUAGGGCAGACAAGCAUGCAUAUUAUAGAAAUCUCACGGUGCGACCUAAUGGAAGAGACCGUGGGAUGUGCUGCCACAAAUCCCUCACCCACUUACUAUGAACUACUUCCCCUAUUCACCUUGAUUUUGAUCCAUGCAAACACUCUCCAAAGGGAGGCCGCUCCACGGCACAAAGCCCUGCAUGGACCUCACGGUGUGAACUCUUAGGGACACUAGAGCUAAAAUACAUUAUUUUUCUCUAGUUGAAGUGUUAUAAAGAAGAAAAAAAAUAGGGUAAUCCAAGCUUCAAGAUUUAUAUUUAGGCUAACUUAAACAAAUCUUAAGUCUAGAUAAAACAUCCAAGUAUAACCAUUAUACAGGAUUUUAACCUAUGAUGUAUAGGUGAUAAACCAUUUUUAUUACCUCACACCUCGUUUGUACUACAAAGUGGGCCGCAUCCAUAUUUUCUCUAAAUAAGACGCCCAACCUUUAUUUCAUAUACUAUAGACUAUUUAGGCUAUAUACUCGAACUUGAUCCACGUUUAUGUUUACACAUAAAGUUCAAGUUUAUUCAAAAAAUAGCAUUGGAACUUGAUUUAUUGGUUUUAAGAUUAUAAUAUUUAAUUUCUCAAUAACAACUUUAUUGAACAGAAUAUGAUUUACAAACUACGAGUUUUAGGACAAAAAAUUCCAACAAAUGAGAGGGUGGGGCCCCUUGUUCAAGACUUGGAUUCAGUGCUUAAGAGAGCAACCUAUCUACUAACCCUAAAGUAGGUAGGAGAGAAUUCCAUCUUGUACCCUAUGUUCCAGUUAUCCACUCGAUCUUACCUCUGAAAAGGGAGGCUUAUUGGGCCAACACUGAUGAAGUGCCCUCACCUAUACAGAUCUAAGGAUAAUCUCGUGUGAACAGGAGUUCAUAGUUAACUCAGGAUUAAGAUUAAGUUACCUAGGUCAUCAAUAAUCGAGAUAGUCAGUUUUAAACAGUAAACAAUGUUAUAACGUAAAAACAAGACUAAUUCAUGGUUUAGUCUUAUGUAAACACUUUACAUAGGAUGCCCCCACUUUCACGUCUCUACAUGAACGAUUCACGAUCACCUCGUUUGUACUACAAAGUGGGCCGCAUCCAUAGUUUCUCUAAAUAAGACACUAAACCUUUAUUCAUAUACUAUAGACUAUUUAGACUAUAUAUACUCGAACUUGAUCCACGUUUUAUGUUUACACAUAAAGUUCAAGUUUAUUAAAAAAAAUAGCCUUGAAACUUGAUUUAUUGGAUUUAGGAUUAUAAUAUUUAAUUUCUCAAUAACAACUUUAUUGAACCGAAUAUGAUUACAAACUACGAGUUUUAGGACAAAAAAUUCCAACAAGAUUGUCUUUUGAUUUGUACGGGUGAGAGUGGCCAAAUUGCCGACUCAAUAAACUUAUCAUUUUGGGAACACAAACAUGUUUGAUAAUCAUUCUCAUUCCACGUUCUCAAAAUUUAAUGUGUUUUUAAAAAAUAAACAAAAAAUAGAGGAAACAUACAAAACAAAAAAUAGACAUGUUUAUUAAGGGGUUAGAGGCACGCAUCCUCUUCACAUUCAUGGUUUUUGUAUUUUAAUAUAAGAACUAAAAACCUAUCCGUCCUUCGCAAUAUUCUUUGCACCGCUCCGUGGGUCCUAUCCAUUAGAGAAUUUGAGAUUAGGUCCAUUGAAUGAAGCUACUUUAUUAACGGGGUGAUGAGACUAUCCAUUAGAAUGACAAAGGGAGAGAUUUCAGAGAAAAAGCGAAGCAAGGAAUCCAUAAAAAAUAGAAGUUGAGAGAAGAAGCUCUGAUUAUUUCUUUCGAAUCUUGGAUCUCUACCCUCGAUCCAGUUAUGAUAAGAAAAAAAGUCUCCUCUUUAAUUUUGAACAAUUAAAUUACAAUAUAUAUUAAAUAAUAUUUUUUUAUUAUUAAAUUAUGUAUAUAGUAGAGUGGCUACGUCCUUUUCAAAGUUUCAAGAUUUUGAGUUCAUCCUUGAUAAACUAAAACAUAUUUUGUUGUAUAUGAUAAUAUUUUGAAUAUAGUUGAACUGUUUUUAUAUAUAUGUUAAUGAGUAAGAUCGAAAUGCCAAUCAAAUUUGUGAGUAUGAGUAUAAUACAUUUUUUGUUAUGAAAUUUGGAAUGAGUGUCUAAUUAAUAUUGAAGGUUUUAGUUAGUUAGUUGUAAGGAAAAUUGUAAAUGGGCAGCAAAUUUGGAAUUCCCGCUGCCCGACUCACAAAUUUAUCUUUGCCCGCCAAAUAAUUGAAUUAAAGCGCAUUUUCAAACCUCGAUCCGAAAAGGCUUCACGCGGAUCGUCCUUAUCAACCGUCGAUUAGAUCGAUAAUCCAACGGAUAAGGUGCUUCGUUUCCGAACUCCAAAUCCGACUGGAAUUCGGAGUUCUGUAUCAUCACAUUCAUAAAUACCCCAAACCACUAAAUUAGGGCAUUAACUCAGAAAAAUUCCCAAUCAAUCGAUUCAUUCUUCAUCCCUUCAAGUCAAUCAAGGAAAUGUCUGGCCGUGGAAAGGGAGGAAAGGGGUUGGGGAAGGGAGGAGCAAAGCGUCACCGGAAGGUUUUGAGAGAUAACAUUCAGGGCAUUACCAAGCCUGCCAUUCGCCGUUUGGCUCGUAGAGGUGGUGUGAAGCGUAUCAGUGGAUUGAUCUAUGAAGAAACCAGAGGGGUUUUGAAGAUUUUCCUUGAGAAUGUUAUUCGUGAUGCUGUUACUUACACUGAGCAUGCAAGGAGGAAGACGGUGACUGCUAUGGAUGUUGUUUAUGCCUUGAAAAGGCAGGGAAGGACUUUGUAUGGUUUUGGAGGUUAGGUUAUGGUUUUGGUCUAGAUAAUAUUUGUAUAGGUUGUUUCUUUUCUGCUGGGUUUCUUUGUUUCUGCAAGUUCUUUUCUUAUUGUUCUGGCAAAAUGAUAAUGGUUCAUUAUCCAAUUGUGCUUUUGCGUUACUACCUGUCUCUCGUACCAUUUCUCUCCCUCUUCUUCCGAAUUUGAAUCAACAAGAACUCAACAGUUGACGAACUUAAGGUUAUAUACAGUUGAAUGAAGUUUGAAUUUCUUAAACAUUUGGUAUGGGAUUUAAACAACGUUUAACUUGGAUCUCCCGUUCCAAUAUUUAGGCACGCUUAUUGUGAAUUCAAGAAUUUUUGUAUUACUGAUUUUCUAAAUAAUCAGCAAUCCAAUUUGUUGAACAAGUUCUGGCAGUUAUCUUGCUUAAAUAAUUAUGCCGAAGAAUUGCAAUCUUGGAAGUUGAAAGAUCUGUGAUGUAAAAAAUGGUAUGAUGUUCCACUAUUCAUGGAUGAAUGAAUCCAAUUAAACUUGGACGACUUUGAACAUUUUGCUGGGUGCAUGUGAAAGGUUUAUUGAAAGACUAGCAUUAUAUUCAAAUGAUCGUCUCUCCUUGAUAUUUGAGUCUAAACAACAUAACCUUAAGGAAUUUCUAGUGCCACCAAAGAAAGAUCUUUUGCAGAAUUGUCAAGAAGAACAAUCGUGAGUUUCUUGUUCUUUGCUGGCUUUUUGGAUUGAUAUAUUUCAUAAUGGCGUUACUUUCCUAUCAUUAUUUUGGUACUGCAUCCUAAUUUCAAAGCAGUUCAUUUGUAUCAGGUGGUAGUUUUGUUAAGGGUUCUGCAGGUUGACAAUCCUUACGAUGCGUUUUAACAUUGCAUCUUCAUGGUUUUAAGUAAUCUGUUGUAUUCACUGGCUACAGCAGCAACUUUUGUCUAAAUGAUGCCAAUCCAUCUUCUACUUAACUGGUGCUGUAUGUUGAAGAGCAGCGUAUGCAUUUUCAAUUUGUGCAGUAGUUCGGGGUCUUUUACAGCGUAUGCCAAUCCAUCUUCAUGCUUUUCCUAGAUUGGGUUCUCAGGUACGAUUCUUGAAGUUGAUCUUUGUGUAGUCCGUGCAUAUUCUCAAAUAUGCCUUGGUGUUUCUUGCUGUAAGUUGAUGUGCUAGAGCAUUGCUAAUGCUUAGAAAGUUCACAAAGUCUAGUUAUCAUUGAGGUUUUCAAGCUUUGCUACUUGCUUGCUAUUCUACAUUUAUGUGGAUUUAGAGGGGCACUUCCCUCGAGCAACAAAAGAUAUGCAUACUGAUCUGUGAUCUCAACUUCUUGAUCGACUAUCAAAAUAUCAUUUGUUAAUGAGCAUUUGAUCUCAACUGGGUUAAGUUCUUGAAUAUACGGCCGUUGGUCCAACUAUUUAAAGCGAGCAAAAGAAUGUUGGUUAAGCUCUUCCUUGAGGAAUCCCCAUUUUGACGCUUGCUGCUUCACGAACAAAUUCUUUUUCUGGACCACAACUGAUGUUCUCUGUUUUAGUCUCAUGACGUCGUAUUUGCUUUUAUCUCGUCUUUACUAGUCCAUCGUUAUACUUCUACUUCCUUUGGAUGGCUUGAUUGAGAUCUUUGCUUUGUGCUUUUGGGAUGUCAUAUCAUAUUUUCCAUUAUGCUUGGCAGAUAUGGGCAGCUUGAUAGUAAGUUGAUACAAUAAGUAUUGUCAGAUCUGCAAAUAUUCUAGAUCUAUGCAAGUCCCAUGAAGUAUAAAAUAAAACAAUCUGCUUCUUAACUCAAAUCUAUUUGAUUACCAAUGCUACUUCUGCAAGUAUGAGCAUGAUCCACAAUGGUAUCAGGAGACUUUUGUUGGAAAUUGAUAGUUUAGACUAAUGGAAGGUAGAGUUUCAUUUAGUUGAUUAGGGCUAUUAGCGUACUCAAGUGUGGCAGUGCUUACGUUACUCAAGAGUUUAUACGUUCGAAGUUAGGAAGUUUGUAUUUGGGGUGUAGAGUUGCAAGUUAAAGUUCUAUAUAGUGAAAAAUAUAUAAAGAGGAAACUAUAAAGUUUAUCGAUAAAUGUACGAUGUGUCGAUGACAUUUAUAUUUGAACACAAAUUAAAUGUGUAAUCACUUGCACCCAAACAGUGUUGUGCAACUUGUAUCUUUACUAUCAUAAUAUUUGUCGACAAACAUCUUAAACUCGAAUAUUAUGUCUUAGGGAUGGCAAAGUAGCCAUCUAUGAAAUUUGUUGGAGCCCAGUAACUCUACAUGGGUGACUAAAUGAAUACAAUAUAGCCUCAAAAAGAAAAAUGACAAUAUUUCCAAUGUGAUAUAUAUGAUAGGCAAAAGGUUUGUUCAAGCAUUUAACUUUACAAAUUUUGUUAACCAUUUCGUUCGCGCUUAUGUCUUCUUUGAUUAUUUGAGUUACUCAAAUGAGAUACUUAACAUGAGCAUUAGCUACAACACUAUACAAAACAAAGAUGUGAGAUGUGAAACUUAUUAUGUAUGUGAGAGUUUAAAGUGAAAGGGCUGUAGCCGUUGCUGCGGAUAGGUCUUCUUUUUUCAUUCUUAUCGUUUUAGUCAUCCAUCCGUAAGCAUGAGUCUGAGUCUAGAGGAAGAAGCCCCCAACGGAAUGAGCAACCGCGGAGUGGGCAUCGGGUAUCUAAGGAUGAUUUCUGAACAUAUGAAGUAAUUACCGGAUCAUAUUUCAUCGUUGCACUCCAAUUCCCAAGAAUAUCCCUGUCUUAUGGCACCUGUGAAAAGUCAAUCAAAGAAGCUCAUUAACUCGAAUUCAAGAAGCUCAAAAUUCAUCUGCUAGAUUGAAGACGGAGUUCAUUCCUAGAAAAUGCAAGGUUUUGCCUAUAGGUUCAAAGAAUAUUGAAGCAAGAAAUCAUGAAAAAGAAUAUUGAGAGUUUACAAAUUAGGCGCAAAGAAUAUUGCAAGGAGCGCAACGAUGAAAUCCAUAUUAAGCUAGCCGACCCCAUCCUGCCUUUCUUUAUGGUAUUCCACCUGGCCGAAAUCGGGAUCAUCGUCUAGCCAAUCCUCGUAUUUUUGCAAGGGUAUCUACCCGCUCCUGGUCGCUUGCAAUGGUUGUGACCUUCUUGUCUUUGAAAGGCGCACAGGCUUCCUGGGAGAACUGGAGAAGGGGGCGUCUUCUCGUCUUUGCUUACGUGUCGACACAAGUCAACUUAUAGGGAUUCUUUGAAAAAGUAUGAAAAAUAAUGGCAAUAUUCUUUCGAUAAUUCUUUGAUCCUCCGUCCUUAGUCGUUCUUUAUAUUCUAGUGGAUAAAAACAAGUCCGGAGGACGGUCUCGCUCCUUUUUGACUCAGCUGGAACUGGAAGUCUAGUUGUCGACUUUCUUCCUUCUCUCUCCGGUCUCGCUCAUCCCUUCUAGCCUUCGGACCUGUCUUAUGCAUCCUUACUCAAAUUUCAUUGAUCCUCUCCGCCCCGUGGGAGUCUGAAAUAUUCUUUGAACCUCUCCGGUCGAGCAGCGGCUUUGCACCGCUCCGUGGGCCUCUUUUCUUCGCCUUCUUCGCAAAUUCUUUGCGCCUUCUAUAUAGUACUUUGUCUUUUGUCCACUAAAAACAAUGUAGAUGUCCACAGGUCCGAAGGACUAUCCAUAUUAACCCGUCUGUCCUUCGGACGGGGGAUUUGAAUACUAUUACUUCUUAUUUGACGUUAGGAGCUUUGAAUUUGCGAAGCGGGGAAUCGGCAGAAGCCCAUAAAGAGCAUUACGUACAAAGGCCUCACCAGCACAUUUGGACUUUCCGCAAUUAACCGAACUUUGACCCUCUCCUCUCUAGUCUCCCUUCUUCGAACCCUAUUUAGGGAGUGCAAUAGAGAACCUGAGAUCCGAUGCUUUCAAUCAGUCGAAGGAGCGGCAAGCCUUUACUUUAGAUUCUCUUAGUCAAGCUAUGUAUGAGUUCCAAGAAGUUCGUAGGGGAAAGUUAGAAAGAGAUGUUGCGUAUCGGGUAUCAUUCCGGGCAAGGAGAGAGCGGUUGAAAGAGGUGGAAGAUUCUCGUUCUUCGAUCUGUUCCGGCUCUUUCUUUCUUUGCUGGAUCUCGCGCAAGAAAAAAUGUAUCUUCUACUUUCUGCCCUGCCUGCCUAUCGUCUCCGAAGUCAAAAUCGCAUAUUCCAUUCCAGGUGAGGUUCUAAAUGUCGAGUCAUUUCAUUGAUCGGCUUGGGUCCUCGUAUUCUUGAAAUUCAAAGAAUGAAUAAGGAAGAGCUCUUACCGAUCUUCUCGAAGAACCGACAGCUACUUCCUCUCAAGCCGAUUCUUCUUCUUUUUUCAUGCCGAGAAAGAGGAGAAUGCUUCUUAAAGUAGUAGGCUGUCCCCUCCCGUCCGUCCUUACUGUGUGACUCUUAGACUGCCGAUUGAGAGUUUGCGGUUUAAAGAAAAGAGCGGGUCGAGACUGAACCUCUGGAAAGAAGAAGGUUCUCCUCUUUAUUCUGAUUCAAGUUCAUGCCGGAAUCAGACCAUCCGUAAUUAACCGAAGUAGUCCUACGUCCUACGUCCGCAGGAUUUAUCCGUAGUCCUUCGAAUGAGCAAGUAGGGGGCGGCAACUAAAGAGGUAGCGAGACUGACCGCAAUUGCAGGAAUAGGUUGACUUUCUUUCAUUUUGGUUAUGGAAAGUGCAAGUCCUUUCGUUUAGUAGAGGAGAUCGAUGAACACCUCGCGGUGCUUACACCUCUCGCCUAUUCGAAGUGAUGUUCAAAAACCUCGUCCGAGAACUUGUAUAGAGAAGGAUUUCCCGCGGCGCAGCGGUUCUUCCAUACCAACUUAGUUGCCCGGCGCUGCUAUUGGCAUAACAACUAUAAUAGCGACACAAGACUAUCCACUUGGGUUAGCAACUGCCACAGCGGCUGCCACUGACUCUUCUGAAACUGAGUGUGAGAUUGCUUCUUCUCUCUCUCUCUCGGAAACUAUUCAAUUGAGUACACCCUAUACAUGUAUCAUAAAUCUUUACUGAAUGUGACAUUGGAUCUAUCAUUUUUUUUAAGACGAUAAACGAGUCAAUUUGUAAAUGAAUUAUAUAUUUAGAUACCAGAUGACUCAGAAUUUUGAGCGAGGGAAAGGUGCGAAGCCGCUCUCAAGAGUUCACCCGAAGGAGAGGUGCGAAAAGAUGCUCGACAUUCAAACUAGAAAGUGGAGUGGAACAGCGCGAGACUAACCCGCUGGGUUAGAGGAAGGUAGUUGUUGUUGGUGCAGAAAUGCGAGGUUACGUACGAAGGAUCGGAAGUGGCAGUUCUUCAUUAAAACCGAAAUCUUCAUUCAAGCACUCUGGUCCCAAUCCUUCCCUCAGAUGAGAAUGGCAGAGACUGAUUACGAAAGAGAUUAAGAAUGUAGCAGUCAAUAAUCGUAUUCAUACCGCUCGGACACCGAAAGAUAAGAGUUCGAGGUGAGAGUCCUACUCUUCCCCGAUUGACUUCCGUAACCCUACUUAUUUGUUCUAGUUUGAGGCGGCCGGCCAAGGAACCUAUUCUAAGCGAAAGAGUCUUAUCUUGAUUUAUUUCAUAAUGCUAAAUGCUCCGAAUCUAGUAAUAUGGAAAUCAGGGUCAAGACGACCGUCCGAAGGUGCAAAGAAUAUUGCGGAAAAGAAAAUCAGCUCAUUAACCGAUAAUGAAAGAAUAAUUAACUCAUUAACGAUAAUGAAAGAAGCUCAAAAUGGGAAUGCAAAAUGUGCAUCUUUGUGCUAGAUUUCAGACAUCUUUGCUUAAUAUGGGCAGUUCCAUACUCUCUUUUUGACGGAGGGAAAUCAAUGAUUUUGCUAGGUUUUGGGCCUAUACGGAACGCAACUUUUCAAGUCAAAUGCCUUCUUUUUCACUCUAUUUUCGUUAAAUAUCAAUCUUCAAAAAAGUCCUAUUUAGAAGCAAAAAAGCCGGGAAAUUGCAACUGGUCCAUUAGAAAAAUCUAGGUAAAAGAAAUGAACAUUGAGAACUUCUAGUUUGUGUUCCGGAGAAAGAGAGGUCUAUUCUUUAUUUCACUCCGUCUUCAAUCUCCAAAUCAAUGAAGGAGUACAAUGAAAUAUAAUGAUUCUUGAAUUCGAGUUAAUGAGUGAAUUCUGAUUUUCGUCAAUAUUCUUUCCAACCCCUCUGGUUAAUGGUCGAUAGCUGCUACCGGCUCCCGGGUUUUCUGAAUAGGAUGUAUGGGGUGUAGCUCCUGGAAGGGAGCGGCGGAUUAGCAAAGGACUGAUUUAUCCAUAUUAACUUCUUGGACUCAUUCUCUACCCCCUACGUGGGCUAUGGAAAGCAGUCAAUGAAAAAUCAAGCUCCAGAUGAGUUGACUGAUAUCAUAAAGAGCUUACUCUGGAAAUUACCGCCUACCUGCCGUCUCGCUGCAAAGGGCGCGAUCUACGAACAGAUGAGUAUAGUGAGAGAGCCACACCCAUUCUAUCGAAGGCGUCUUUCUCUCUUGAAACCGAGCUACUCUUGCUUCCCCGAGAAUAGAGUGAAUUCUUCUUUCUUAGUGUGAUUUGUGACUUUCUGAAUUAUAUAAGAAAAUAGUGAACAUUUAGUUAAUUACUCCCGGGUUUUCAUGGCAGUAGUGUAUUCACUUCGCACAAUGAUCGGAGCGAAGUUGAAGGUAGCUGCGAACCAACUGGAAUGGGGUCCGUCCUUCUUUUCCAACUGAUCCUUAGUCCGAUUCUUUCCUAAAGAUUAUCUUGCGGAUCUUACUGUAAAAUGAAGCUAAUCCCGGUCGAGUAUCUUAUUCGAAAUACAGUGGACUCUAAACCAGAGUCCGGAGCUCGAUCCGUGGUUAAUGAGAUCCGAGUGCAUUCCGAGUGGUUUGGACGAGUCCAAGAAGUUAAUAUGGAUUUGAGAGUCCAAGAAAUUGGAAGUUCCAUAAAGGAGUCCUCCGUCCAAUGGCUAUUUUUUUCCCUUCUAUAUAUUCUUUGCGCCCCUUGUUCAUUGAUUUCAUGCGCUUCUCAACUCAUAUUAGAUCUCGCCUCUCCCUAUGUAUGGUCGUCCGGUUUAGAGUCCUUCGGACGUGCUCAGUCCUUUCCAUUAGUAGUUAGGAGCUUUUCAUAUUGCGGAAAAGAAGAAAGGAGCGCAAAGAAAGGUCCAGGGUUCGCAGUCCGCAGGAUUUAUCCGUAGGACUAUCCAUUAGAAGGAGGACUAUCCAUAUGGAAGUAGUCCGGAGGUUUAUCCGUAGGACCAUCCGUAAUUAACCGAAGCAGUCCGCAGGAUUUAUCCGUAGUCCGGAGUCCUACGUCCGCAGGAUUUAUCCGUAGUCCGAAGGAGUGGGUAGAAAGCCGAGCCUAUCUGCACCUGCGCCUUCUUUUUCUUCUUCGCGCAUCUGGUCCGAAGGACUGACCGCAGAGGUUAGCAGUCCAAGGCUAUAUGGAAUAAAUCAGUCGGAAUAUAUGAAGAAUUAAUACAUCUAUUUCUCAUAGAUUAUGAUCUUUAAGAGAGAUCUUGCCGCUACGUGGGAGUCCCAUUCAGCCUUGCCACCUUUCUCUUUAUCGCUUCGCACUCUUAUCCAAUUUGACUAAGCAUACGUGGACCAGCCGAGAUAAUGAGAUGAAGAGCUUUCUAAACGACGAGACUAAAGAGGAGAUUUACUAGGGAAAAUGGACAAAAUGCAAGGUUUUGGGCUAUGCUAGCUCUCCGCAAUAUUCUUUGCACCUCAAUUCAACCAUUAUCGUGAUAUAAUCACAGUCUAGAAAAGUCUUGGAAAAAGAAGCCAAAAAUCCCGGGUUUCCGCAAUGUGAGAAUGUACCUACGGAAUCGAUCUCAUUUGCUUAAGACAUGAAAUGAAAUUCAAUCACCUGGGAAAGUCACAGGAGCGGGUCGGUCGGCCUAGUUUGUGAGGAGUCCUCGGAGUAGAAGUCAACGGACGUCGUGCUCCUCCGCCUCUUCUUACAGUCGAUUCGACUAAUCCUCUCUUCGUGCCUAAUCUGAUACCUCCCUCUCCCGGGCAGCUGCUUCUCUCAAUUACUGUAACUGUCCUUCGCACCUCUUCCCCAACUUGCCAGUCUCGACUUUUCCUCAUUCUAUUCUGAUGAGAAUGAAAGAGCAAGGGCACGGACCAGGCUGAGGCAAGGAUCCGAGGAACUUUCCUUCAUCCAGUAUGAAAGCCAAAGGCCUAUGAGAAGAAGAAGAAGUUCAUUCCUUAGAAAUAUAAAUGAGAGCGAAAGCGGCUCGCUCGCAAUAUUCUCAUGUCAGUGGAAGGCAAUAUUCGAUAAUUCAGGCUGAGGCGGAGGAGGAGUUGACGGCUCGCCUUAGAUAGGAAAUAGGGGGAGAGGCGCAAAGAAUAUUGCCCAUGGGCUCGACUGAGAUGGACGGAGGACGAGGCGCAAAGUUCGGUUAAUUACGGAAAGUCCUCCUUCGGUUAAUUACGGAAAGUCCUCCUUCGGUUAAUUACGGAUGGUCCUACGGAUAAAUCCUCCGGACUGCUUCCUUCCAUAUGGAUGGUCCUACUUCCAUAUGGAUAGUCCUACGGAUAAGAAUCCUCCGGACUCCAGACUACUUCUGUUAAUUACGGAUGGUCCUACUUCCUUCCAUAUGGAUGAUCCUACUUCCAUAUGGAUAGUCCUACGGAUAAGAAUCCUCCGGACUCCGGACGUAGGAUAAAUCCUGCGGACUCCGGACUGCGGACUGCGGACUCCGGACCCUGGACCUUUCUUUGAUGGAGGCGCAAUGAAAUAUGCGGCGUGAGAAGCAAGGUUUUAAGUGCAACUCAACCUACUAAAAUAAAAAGAACCUAAAAAAUACUGUUUUAAGUGCAAGGAAUGAUAUUAAUCUUUUACAUAGUCUUUGAAAACUGGAGGCAAGGCAGACCAGUUUGCUCUUUUCAAACAUUAACAUGCGAAGCGAAGCAUUAAAAGAAGAGAUAAAUAAAGAGUUAAGGAGCGCAAAGACGCAAUAUUCCUUGCGCCGGAGGACUAUCCAUAUUAAGAAAGACUAUUACAAACAUUAGUAUGGACUAUUCCGUGCCUUUUUACAUAGUCUCGGGAAAACGCAAUGAAAGAAGAACUCCUAGGACAGGUAAAAUCAAUGAAGACUUCUAGUUUGAGUUUAUGGUCCGGAGAAAUACGGGUCUAUUCUUGAUUUCCCUCCAAGUUAUUCAAUCAAAAUUCUUCUUGAAUUCUCGUUAAUGAGCUUCUUUCUUUGCGCCUGCGCCUGGACCAAAGGUUAAUAUGGAUGGAUAGUCCUACUUCGGUCCAGGUGCAAAGAAUAUUGCCUGGAACUUGAAUAAGGAGCGUAGCGGAGUAGCGGAGCGGUGGGUUCGGUGGCUUCGCCCUGCUUCGCCCUUUGUUUUCCAGCCAGCGUAGCGGACACCGGACACCUUUCUUUUCUCUUUUCCAGCGUAGCGUAGCGGAGAAAUCAAGCGGAAAUCCUCUUUGAACCGCGGAGUGGGGAUUUUCAGCCUAACGUAGCGGAGCGGUGGCUCUCCCUAUUAAUAGAACUUUGUCUUUGUACUUGGUCAAAAUCAAGCAGAAAUCUUCCUGUCCUCCGGACUAUCCAUUAGAAGCGCCUCUUGUCGAGUAAGAAAGGUUCGGUAAAACUCUCGGGGAUUCCUUAUCCAGUUUAUUCCUUUCAUAUGAAACCGCGAUACUUUUCAUUGACUUCCUUCUCUUUCUUCCUUUUAUUCCGUUUCGGAUUCUAGAAUCUUUCCCCGCGUAGUGGGCAUUGACUUCUUCAUUGAUCUUCCCCGCUUGAUUUAUGUAUGUUCAUUGAUUCCUCUUGUUUUUCUUUUCUUCUUAUAUCCUAUUAUGACUUGAAAACCACUAAAUCUUUCUUCCAAUUGAAGUAAAUCAUAAAAAACCUCGUGAACUAAGAAAAGAAAAGAAUAAUUCUGAUUUCAUCACCUUGUUUUUACGGAGGGAAUAUUAAGUCUAAUAUUCCCCCUCAAGAUGGAGAGUAUAUAUCUUUCACUCCCAUCUUGCAUAAAUGAAGAGAUAAAGUUAUGGCAUUAAGGGGCUUUGUGAGAGCAUCAACAAGCUGAUUUGAAGACCGUAUAGUAGUUUGAUAGUCAGUCCGGAAAUUCUCUCAUAAGAAAGCAAUACGGUAUGGUAUGUCUGCUGAAAGGGGGCAUGAUCGGGCCCCCACGGAGGGGGAAUCACUCGCGCAUCCAUCUUGCUCUCAGUUGUGCCGACCGAAGAAGAAAGAGUUGGUGGGGACUCAUCAUCAGUAAGACGAAAGGUGGAAAAACCCGUAUUCAGACAAGGUUUCCACGGAAUGAUAAUGAGAUUUGACUCCGUCAUAGCAAGCCUUCAUCUAUGGGCUAGAACCAACGGAAAGAGUCUGACUCAAAGGUUAUUUUCGGAGAGGAGUUAGGCUCGACCCUGUUUAAGAGAAAGAGUCCGAUCUCCUCUUGAAGCCACUUUUGUCUUUCUAAACCCCUUGAGAACAGGAAGAAAGAUACAAAGAACAAACUAUCGAGAAAUUGAGUGAUUCACUCAUUUAUGAUAUAUGAAAAAGAGAGAAUGAAAGAGUGAAUAGUUCAUUCUUUUGUUGUUUCAUUCUAUGUUUCAUUCGUAACAGGGAAUCUUUGCUUUCUUCUAUUACGAUAGUGCAAAUUGUUCUUUAUUUCAAGAAUAAGUUGGAUACAACCAACUGUACUUUUCUAGUUAUAACUACGAAAAGGUGCAUGAUCCCGCGAAUUACUUCUGACAAAAUGAAGAAAUCAUAUUGAAGAACCAUAGCCAUUUCGCGAUUCAUUGGUAAAUCAACUUUGAUUUGAAGGCCAAAAUCAAAUAGCGGACCGAGAAAUGGUGCCCGAAGAUGGCGAUGGCGGAUACUGAUAAAGGGAACUGCGUGCGUUUAAGAACUCUUUACAUUCUAGGUGAACUCCCACAACAAUAACCAAAGAUAUGACAACAAAGAUCAAGAAAAAAGAAAAACUUAUUCCUAACUUCAAAAUUUCAAACUCUCCACAAUGUAAUUUAUCAAACUAGAUCAAAAGUUCUAAACAUGUAUCAUAACACAAGAAUACAAAGUAAAACAUAAUGGUUGAGAGAUAAAAUUUUAUGAGAAAUUUCAUUUAAAUUCAAAUCAUGUUGUUCUAAAAUAUGGAAACUACAACUCCUUUUAUACCAAUUAAAAAUGUUAUAUGAAGGACUUAACAUUUAAUUUUAUGUCAUUUCGAUUAUUCUAAUAAAUGAAAAUACAUAAUAUUUAAUAAUUACAUAAAUCAUUACAAAUGUGAAUGAAUGGAUAUGAAUUUCUAGAAUCAUUAAGUGUUGAUAUGACUUUUUAAGAGUCUUAGGACUAUGUUCUUUACCUAAUUCAUUAGUCAACUAACAAAUUAUAUGAAAAAGAGAUUGAUUUUAGAUGUCAUGUGUGCUUAGUCAAAAUGUCCCAUUCAAAUCCUAAUUUAACUAAUUACCACUUCUUUUUCUUAGCUUUCCCCCCCUCUUUUUCUUAAGGGAAAUUAUUUAGUCUAUUACUAUUCUAUUUACUAAACUAAGAUUUGCAUAUUCUGUAGUAUAUGGUUAUAUCUUACAUCCAUGCAAAUGUGCAUCACUAUUUUCUUUACCUCAAACCUCGCGCCUACACAGGUUCACUUACACGAUUCAAGUGUUAAACAAUAAAUCAUAUAAGCAACCCAACUGUACGAGGAACAAUAUACUUGAAUGCUUAAUUGAACUAAGUGCUUUAUUACAUUUGAGUAGACUCCACACAACAUUAAAUUAGUGCUUAAUCUGAUCAAACAUCUUAUGAAUUUGACAAAGUAGAAUACAUAUAUUAAUUAAUUAAGGUAUAUAGUAAUGAGUGAGAGAUGAAAAGUGUUUGUGCAACUUGGCUUCGCUAAAAAUGGAAGAAAGAAGUAUCCAUAAAAAAAUGCUUAAAUAAAAAUUACACUUUAUUUUUCUAUUAAACGUUCUAUUUUUUACUAUUUUUCAUAUCCAUACGGAAAACUGUCCUCAAAUAUAGAAUUUUAUUUUGAACUUAUAAAAUUGUAUUUAAAUUUAGGCACUUUAAAUAUGAAAAAGAACAUUUGGGCAUUUCCCGCUGCCCGGAUUCAGGAAUUUCACAUUACCCGCUACCCGGGAAAAAUGAGAAAAAGUUUAAAAAACAAUUUACACUUUUUAAAGUACAAUCCCUAAAGGAAUCACGCGGAUCGAGCUCUUGAACCGUUCAUCUUUCAAAGAUCUAACGGUGGAAAGAAUACUGAGCUAAACUCGAAAACCAAGUUUCCAAUUUGCACUUCCAUAAAUUAACCCAAUCGUUUCUAUAUCUUCAUCGAAAUCAAAAUCAAAACUCACAACCGAUUUAGUUCCACAUCGCUGUUCUAAUAUAACCACCAAAUCACCGGCGACAAUGUCUGGACGUGGUAAGGGCGGUAAGGGAUUAGGAAAGGGAGGAGCUAAGCGUCACAGGAAGGUUUUAAGAGAUAACAUUCAGGGCAUUACCAAGCCUGCCAUUCGUCGUUUGGCUCGUAGAGGUGGUGUGAAACGUAUCAGUGGAUUGAUCUAUGAAGAAACCAGAGGUGUUUUGAAGAUCUUUCUUGAGAAUGUGAUUCGUGAUGCUGUUACCUACACUGAGCAUGCAAGGAGGAAGACGGUGACUGCUAUGGAUGUGGUUUAUGCUUUGAAAAGGCAAGGAAGGACUUUGUAUGGUUUUGGAGGUUAGGUUUAGGGUUUGAUUCCAAGAAUGAUUGUAGACCAUUACGUUUGAUCUUGUAUUUUGUAGUCGAACUCGUUCUUAUUGAUUAAUGUAAGUUAAUUCCUCAUUAGUUGGAAGUGAUGGAAGCUUUACUUCAUUGAUGCCAUGUGCUAUAAGAUUUUCGUUUUUUUCUCUCCAGUUUUCUUAAUCUUCUUGUCUCGAUAAUUAACAAAUUUCUUCGAGCUAACUGUUUAAUUGUUUCCAAUUUGAAACUUUACUAUACGUUGAUAUCGAAAGAAAAUGGCAGCCACAGUUUCUGUUUCUUUCAUUUAAUACAUAGUAUGGGGUUUGAACAAUUCAACUGUCAUCGCUGAAUCUUUUAAAUCUUUGGAAGCACUGCUUUGGUUUGAAUAUCUAGUUUCAACUACCACGCUCUUUGUGCAUGGCUUGUGGAAGUAUGUGUCAUCUCAAUUUGGCUUUUCAUGAAUAUUUGUUAGACAUGAAUUUGUGCAAGAAGGCAGACAUGAAUUUGCUCUUACCUGCCACCGUUGUUAAGUUGGAAGGCUUGGAUCAAUGUUACCUGUUAACCUUUUUAUUCCUGCAGUAGAAAUUAAUGCUUCAGAUGUCAGCUUGAACAAGAAGGCACUUUAGUUAUCUCCUUUUGCUUAGUAAUAUUUUCAGGUGAGAAUCCAUUUUGUGUUGCCCUUUACACCUCUCCCUGGAUGAUUUUUCAUUGGUUGAUUUGUUUGAAGAUGACAAUUUGCUGUAGCAGACUUCGUUCCAUCCUGUUUUUGUCAUGGAGCUUAGAAUUUUGACGUUUCGUGAUUGUUUUCGUUCCAUUGGCUUAACUGUGCGUCCUAUGAUCUGUUAACACUUACUAGGUAGCAUUCUGUAGUUAUCGAUAUUUUGGACGUUCUUUAUUUAUUCCCUUUUUCUCUACACUGUUUAUUUACCUUUGCCUAUGUUAUGGGAAUGCUUGAAAUUUUUUACUUUCCAAUUUGUUUCUCUUGCUUUUACUUGUACCCAAUUUUUAUAUCUGCCCUUAUUUUGGUUCUUUCCCGCUUCUUUUCUGUUCUGUUUAUUUCUAGAAUUGAUAUUUUUGUCUACUGUAUUAUAUCAGGGAACGAAGAAUGCAAUUUUUUGCUAUUAUUGAUUGCUUUUCUUAUUUAUGGCUGGAUCUCAUUCUUAUUUGAUGUUUGCUUCUUUUGGUUUACAGAAUGCUGAGUGUUCAUUCUCCCUUUAACCGGUAACUUUACAAUACCUGCAUGUAUGAAAUCAUGAAAGAUGCUGAUUUUGUUUCUUUCCCUUUCUUGCUUUCUAUGUAUAUUGUUGAAAGCCUUGUGAGUAUAGCUGCCUCUGUCUUUUAUAUGUGUAGUAUGCUCAUUGCUGCCAGUAACUUUCAAUAACGAUCAUAAUUCAAGAUUACGUGGCUCUUGAAAGAGACUGCCUGAUUUUUCCAAUAGCAUAUUUUACCUAGAGCACUGUUUAUAGCUUUACUGAUUGAUCGACAUUUGACCCAUGCUUCAAGUCCUUGAUAUGGAACAGAGAGAUAUUGUGGGUUUCUGCGAUUUUGUAUUCCCCUGAACCAAUACAAAUGAGAACCAACCGUGCGUCAUUCAGUUUUUGCUACCCUGGUAUAUGUUAGCCUUUUAUGUUAGUUAUAACCUUGUGGAUUGUGAUGAAGUUUGAAGUUUGAACUCAUUUCAACUUGAUCAGAAUUUCACCCCUUGAUCAACCUGCUAAGCCAUCCUCUUCUCUUUUUCGAUGCACCCUUUGUCCAAUGCUAUAAUCUUUUUACUCUGUUUUUCAUUGGCAUAUUUGAUCAUUGUUCUCUUUCCUGUUGAUCGGUCUCGGUUUAUCUAGAAUUGUCAGAACUCUUACCAUCUCCUCAAUCAUGUGAUUUUUUACAAAUGUCCUUAAACACUAUUAAGACCACAUUGGAUUUUUUCCACCAUUCCAUGUUUGACUUUAAUCUCCGUACAGUUCUUCAUCCUCUUCAUGUGGAUCCUCCAAGAGCUUUUGAAUUUUUUUCUUUUGAUCCCCAACCAGAGGUUAGAAUUAAUGGAUCUUGAUAUCGUAGAUUUUAGAAUACCAUGUAUUUUGGAUGAUGUACUGAUCUCCUCAACAACUUUGGUAGCCAACAUAACUUAUGCAAUAUAGAACUGUUGGAACAUGUCGGUAUGUUAUCUAUAUAAUGAAAGAAGACAUCAUUUCAAGAUUCAAAUCCUUUCAGGUUAUCUACCCUUUAUAAUUUACAUAAAAUUCAGCUAGCAUAUCUGUGCAUUAGUUAUCCAAAAUAUUGAUGCCGUGAAUGUAGCAUGUCAUGUUAUGCCUGUGAAUGUAGCAUUCAAAUCCUUCCAGCAUGUCUGUGCAGAAGCUUAGAUAGGUUUGAAAAUAUUUGAACUGAGCCUGAAGGUUCCUACAUCACAAACAGGAUUAGAGGGAAUGUAGAAAUCCCACAAAUAUUGAUCCUAGUUCAUUUACGUUCUCAUGCCUGUGAAUUGGCAAAGCCUCCACAUAGACCUACGAUCUUAUGAACUUCUCUGUUAGUACAGUAUCUUCCCCAAGAACCUUUUAAAACAUUGUUCCAUCACAUUUAUUGUUCAUAUCUUGUUAGGCCUCCAGUAAUACACACUUAUCUCAGAAGGGAAUAGUAACUGUUAUAUUUAUGGUCUUAGGUCGGUGCGUGGGCUAAUAUAAAAAGUCUACUCGAGAAACUGGUCUGAGACUCACUGCAAAUGAAGUAAAUCCAUAUUAUGUAUCUUUUGAUUUCACAGAGAACCUGAUAUCAUUGCUUGAUUUCUAGACAUUCACAGGCAUGAGAGGCCUGAAGUUUAAAAAAUCCCACAAAAUCACAAUGCUUCCCUUUAACCACACAGUUAACUUCCUCAACCAUAUAUAUUCAUAAAGAUAUAUAAAUGAUUUAUUGAUAUAUGAAGACCCGAUUUAUUGAUAUAUGAAGAUAUAUAGAUGAGUUCUUUUCUUCUGUGGUUUCUAACUAGCUUUAUUGAUAUAAAUGAUUUAACACCAUAUAUAUUCAUAAAGAUAGUGUAGAACACACUCUUAUAAACUCAAGAUCCCAAAGCUUUUCAAAUGCAGUAAAUAUUGAAAUGAGAGAUAACACACCAAUUUAUGUGAAAAUCCAAGUAUUGGAGAAAAAUCACGAUUGUUUGUUGUUAUUAUUUUUUAAUGAAUAAUUCAAUAGGUACAAGGGAAAAUAAAUAUAGUAUACAAAUGAAUUAAAAAGGAAAUGAUUUAGGAAAUAAGGAAAACAUUCUCAUAAUCUUUCCAUAAAUAUUCUAGGAUUCUAAUAAGAAAAAUAUUUAGAAAAUAAUGAAAUGAUUCUAACACUUCCCUCAAGUUAGGAUGUAUUAUCAAUGAGGCCCAACUUGCUAACACAAAAGUCAAAGUUUGGUUGGAGAAGCCCCUUGGUAAGAACAUUAGCAAGGGAUGUACCAAAUGCAUAUGCUCUAUUGUCAAGUCUUUCUUUGAUGAAAUGUCGGUCAAUCUUAACAUGUUUAGUGCUAUCAUGUUGAACAUGAUUGUUAGUAAUAUUAAUAGCGGCUUUAUUAUCACAUAAAAGCUUCAAUGGUGUCUUACAUUCCUGAUGAAGAUCUCACAGGACUUUCUGAAGCCAAAUUUUCUCAUAUAUUCCCAAUUCGGCCUCAGCACUGCUCCUGACCACAACACUUUACUUCUUACUCCUCCAAGUUACAAGAUUGCCUAAAACAAAGGUACCAUAACCAGAGCUAGACUUUCUGUCAACAACAAAUCCAGUCCAAUAUGAGUCAGUAUAUACCUCAAUGGUAUUUCUGUCUGUUUUUCUAAAUAUCAGCUAUUUACCAGGUGUUGAUUUCAAGUAUCUCAAAAUUCUGUUGACAGCUUUCAUGUGUUCCUCAUACGGAGCAUGCAUAAACUGGCUGGCAACACUCAUAGCAAAGGAAAUAUAAGGACGAGUAUGAGAUAAGUAAAUUAAUUUACCAACGAAGCGUUGGUAUUGUUCUUUAUCAACUGGAACUUGAUCAUCAAAGUUUUCCAGUUUACAAUUGAAUUCGAUAGGAGUGUCAGUGGGACGACAUCCCAACUACAUGUCUCGGUUAGCAAAUCAAAAAUGUAUUUUCUUUGAGACACGGAGAUACCUUCUUUAGAUCUGGCCACCUCCAUUCGAAGGAAAUAUUUCAGAUUUCUCAAAUCCUUGAUUUCAAAUUCAUCACCAAUUCUCUGCUUUAGUUGACUGAUUUCUGCCUUAUCAUCUCUAGUCAAAAUAAAUUCAAUCCACAUAAAUUAUUAGAAUAACAAUCUUUCCUGUCUUGAAAACCUUUGUAAAUAAAGUAUGAUCAAAGCGCCCCUGACUAUACUCUUGGAACUUGACAAAGGUAGUGAAUCUGUCAAACUAUGCUCUGUGAGACUGUUUCAGAACGUAUAGGGAUUUCUGGAGUUUACACAUAUGCCGACCAAACUGGGCUUCAAAUCCAGGGGGGCUCAUGUAGACUUCCUUCACAAGGUCUCCAUUCAAAAAAGCAUUCUUCACAUAUAGCUGGUAUAGAGGUCAAUAUUUGUUCACAACAACAGAUAACAGAACUCUAACAUUAUUCAACUUAACAACUGGAGAAAAAGUUUUUGAAUAGUCAAUACUAUUGGUUUAAGUAAAUUCCUUUGCAACUAAUUUUUCAUUGUGUCUGUCAAGAGUACCAUCUGCUCUGUAUUUGAGAGAGAACAUGCAUUUGCAUCCCACGGUUUUGUUUUGUGUUCCUUGGGUAGAGUACAAAUGUCCAAAGUAUUAACUAUUAAGUAAGUAAACACCCAUUUGUUAUUAUCUUUUAAAAAAUCGUUAUUUUGUGUCCUCAAAGAAACAACAAAUUCAAAUGAUUUUGGGAGUUUACGAUUCCCGCUCUCUACCCGCCAAAGAUAUUGAAAAUGAAAUCAAACCGCUUUUUAUUUCACUUUUCAAAAAUCCUUUACCACCAUCCGCUCUACUUUCACAUGGAUCGACCUUUUCAGCCGUCCAUCAACAAUAGAUCCAACGGGCCUCAUAUUUCUACCCUCUACCAAAUCACACAUAUAUAUUCUCUCUCCCCCCACCCAACUCAUCAUCGUCAUCUCCACAACAAAAUUUUCAAAUUUUCCAAUUGCCUUAAUUCUUCUUCAUCCCCGAAAUCACCCAUCUUCUCUGAAAUAUGUCUGGCCGUGGAAAGGGAGGCAAGGGAUUGGGAAAGGGGGGAGCAAAGCGUCACCGUAAGGUUUUGAGAGACAACAUUCAGGGCAUUACGAAGCCUGCAAUCCGCCGUUUGGCUCGUAGAGGUGGUGUGAAGCGUAUCAGUGGAUUGAUCUAUGAAGAAACCAGAGGGGUUUUGAAGAUCUUCCUUGAGAAUGUUAUUCGUGAUGCUGUUACUUAUACUGAGCAUGCAAGGAGGAAGACGGUGACUGCCAUGGAUGUGGUUUAUGCUUUGAAAAGGCAGGGGAGAACUCUAUAUGGCUUUGGAGGUUAGGUUAUCGUUCGAUUGCAAGAAUAAUUGUAGACCUUGGCUGUAGAUCUGGAUUCUCCAAGAAU